rnacentral:rRNA from 1 species
ACAUGCCUAUAACAUAGCGUUAAUGCACUAGAUCCCAUUAGAUAUCCGCAGUUAAGCAUGCUCAGCCUAGAGUAGUAUUGGGAUAGGUGACCACUCUGGAAGUCCUAGUGUUUUACAUGCC